AUGCCUAUACCCGACCGUUACGGCAUGUGCCCGGUCGGCGGUAACGCGCACACAUGUGGCCAGGCCGUAACGAGUAGGAAGGUCGUGGCGGUGGCGUCGAAGGCUUCGAGCGUGAGCUCAGCUGGAGCCGCCGUCAGUGCAGCUCACGGUUGUAGUAGCAAAUAUUUAAGUUCGAUCCUUAGAGACUGAAGUGGAGAAGGUUUCCACGUGAACAGCAGUUGGAUGUGGGUCAGCCGACCCUAAGACACUGGCGAAAGCCGUUUAUUCAUCGAGAGGGCGCGGCUUGCGGCGCUCGUCGUCGUGGCGUGUGGCUCUCGUUGAGUCGAAAGGGAAUGGGGUUAAUAUUCCCCAGCGAGGACAUCGCGAUCGCGCGCCGACCGCCGCAAGGUGGCCGACGUGCGUGUGCGGUAACGCGAAUCAAAAUCGACGACGUCUGUCGGCGAACGAGCUAGAGUUUUCUUCUCUAGUUAAGAGACGGACUCCCUGGAAUCGGUUCAUCCGGAGAUAGGGACGUUGUUUCUCGAAAAGCAUCGCGGUUUCUGCGGUGUCUCGUUCUCGCCGACGGAUCCUUGAAAAGUCGAUGGCGACUCUCAAGCGAUGCCUCAUCGUACCGAUAACCGCAUCAGGUCUCCAAGGUGAAUAGCCUCUAGUCGAUGGAAUAAUGUAGAUAAGGGAAGUCGGCAAAUUAGAUCCGUAACUUUGGGAAAAGGAUUGGCUCCAGAGGCCGGGCCGGUUGGCCGGCUCGCCGAAGCUAGCGUGGCUCUGUCCAUGUCUGGCGUCGCUUUAACCGGCGGCGUCGGACUAGCGGCGGUGGUCGGCUUGUGGACGUGGGUCGGUGUAUGCUCUGGCCUCGGCCUUAGCAUCCUGACCGGCCGCUUAAACGGUCAAUCUGGAACUGGUACGGACGCGGGGAAUCCGACUGUCUAAUUAAAACAGAGGAGACAGAUGGUCCUCACGGACGUUGACUGUCUCUGAUUUCUGCCCAGUGCUCUGAAUGUUAAAUCGUAGUAAUUCGAGUAAGCGCGGGUAAACGGCGGGAGUAACUAUGACUCUCUUAAGGUAGCCAAAUGCCUCGUCAGGUAAUUUCUGACGCGCACGAAUGGAUUAACGAGAUUCCUACUGUCCCUAACUACUAUCUAGCGAAACCACAGCCAAGGGAACGGGCUUGGCAAAAAUAGCGGGGAAAGAAGACCCUGUUGAGCUUGACUCUAGCUUGAUUUUGUGAAGAAUCAUGAGAGGUGUAGCAUAGGUGGGAGGUCGCAAGGCCGACGAUGAAAUACCACCACUUUCAUCGAUUCUUCACUCAUUCGGUUAUAAGAGGAUGGGGGGCCGGUGCGCCUCGUGCGUUCCGCGCCUCCUCUAUUCCUCGGUGUUAAGGGCGG
rnacentral:rRNA from 1 species